ensembl:lncRNA
UGACGUCCUGAUGGCGUCCUGUUGGUCUGCAGACAAGGAGAAGAGACGUGAGGAGGAUCAUCAGGAUGUGUCUUGUGUGUCUUUGUUUAGAACCAAAUGUUAGUGUGUCUGUGUGUACAUCUAAUUGUUAGUGUGUCUGUGUGUACAUCUAAAUAUUAAUGUGUCUUUGUGUACAUCUAAAUGUUAGUGUGUGUCUUUGUGUACAUCUAAAUAUUAGUGUGUGUCAUUGUUUAGAACCAAAUGAUAGUGUGUCUGUGUGUAGAUCUCAUUGUUAGUGUGUCUGUGUGUACAUCUAAAUGUUAGUGUGUGUCUUUGUGUACAUCUAAAUAUUAGUGUGUGUCAUUGUUUAGAACCAAAUGAUAGUGUGUCUGUGUGUAGAUCUCAUUGUUAG